GCAGACAUGCGUCUCAUCUUUCAUAACCACAGCAUAUUUUAUAAAGAUCAGAGGUUCAGCAAUCUUGGAGACACAAUAAGAAAAGUAUUUGAGAAGAAUUACAAAAUAUUAUUUUCAAUCAAGAAAACAAGAAAACAACUUCAACCAUUGACUAGGUGGAGAUCACAACAAAACAGACCGGGAGUCAACACACCGUCCUUGGGAACAGCUAGAAGAUGAACCAUGUCUAACAUAAACUAAAAUUGUUCAUCUUGUAAUGUAAAAUGGGAACGAGAAGUCAGAAGUUCAACCCUGGGAGCUCAGUCAUGGAGAGAAAACUCAAAUAGGAGCUGUGGCCGACUGCUGGACUUCCACAGACAGUUUCUGCUGACUGCCGUGAGCAU